CCUACGGGAGGCAGCAGUGGGGAAUAUUGUACAAUGGGGGGAACCCUGAUGCAGCGACGCCGCGUGAGUGAAGAAGUAUUUCGGUAUGUAAAGCUCUAUCAGCAGGGAAGAAAAUGACGGUACCUGACUAAGAAGCCCCGGCUAACUACGUGCCAGCAGCCGCGGUAAUACGUAGGGGGCAAGCGUUAUCCGGAUUUACUGGGUGUAAAGGGAGCGCAGACGGCUGUGCAAGUCUGGAGUGAAAGGCGGGGGCCCAACCCCCGGACUGCUCUGGAAACUGUAAAGCUGGAGUGCAGGAGAGGUGAGCGGAAUUCCUAGUGUAGCGGUGAAAUGCGGAGAGAUUAGGAGGAACACCAGUGGCGAAGGCGGCUUACUGGACUGCAACUGACGUUGAGGCUCGAAAGCGUGGGGAGCAAACAGGAUUAGAUACCCGGGUAGUC
rnacentral:rRNA from 1 species